rnacentral:lncRNA from 1 species
AUGUGCAUGAAGUAGGAUAAAUACUUUCUGAAAUAUUUCAUGGCAGAUAAUUAACCUAACUGAGUUCCAAUGUGAAACAGAAAGAUGUGUGGUAUUUUUUAAUAAGCUCUAGUAAAUGCUGGUGUGAAAUAUAAGAUAAAGCAUCCUCAGUCUGAACCCCUAAUGCUGUCAUAUGAUGUCUGGUGUUGCACAUUGGACAAAAUCGAAAACAUGUAGCAAAACCAUAAAUAUUGUCCAUCAUUUUUAAACCCUCCACAUUAUGUAUGUAUGUGUCUGUCCCAAGUCAGGAGCCUGUUAUUCAGUGGUUGUGGUUUGUUUGUUUUUUUAUCUUUUUUUUUUAAAUAAGGACGUGAGUUUUCUCCUUUGAAUUGUUUUACAUUGUCAUUUUGGGCCUUUUAUAGCUGACUAUGCGGUAUAGGCUUUGCUCAUUGUUGAAGUCCGUACAGUUACCUAUAACUGUUAAUUUCUGUAUCAUUUUGGUCUCUUGUAGAG